AAAAGGGGGCAAAAUUUAAGGCAUAUAAUUUGAAAUUAUAAAAAAGGAAAUUUCCUCCCUUUUU
rnacentral:tRNA from 1 species